AAAGUAAACAAGGCAAUCGCCGGUGGAGUGCCGCAAGGCCCCACGGGAGGAAAGUCCGAGCUCCAUAGGGCAGGGUGCCGGCUAACGGCCGGUGGGGGCAACCCUAAGGCUAGUGCCACAGAAAUGUAGACCGCCGAUGGAGGUGUCUCACCUCACAGGCAAGGAUGCAACGGUGCGGUAAGAGCGCACCAGCAGCAUGGAGACAUGCUGGCUAGGUAAACCCCACCUGGAGCAAGACCUGAUAGGAGAUCGGCGCGCGCAAGCGUGCAACUGUGGCCCGCAGUGAUCUCGGGUUGGUCGCUUGAGCCUUGCAGCAAUGCAUGGCCUAGAUAGAUGAUUGCCACUCCAAUGGGUGGAAGACGUCCACAAGCCGUCGUUAUACCACUCGGAGAACAGAACUCGGCUUAUUGUUUGCUUUCCAC
rfam:Thermoactinomyces vulgaris strain NRRL F-5595 F5595contig3.1, whole genome shotgun sequence.